UCAACGCCUAAGUGCCUGCUAACUGCUUCACACGUGUGGCGCGUCUUUAUCUUUGGCCGUCUGCCGUGCUCGGAUUACUUGGCAAACAUACCAGCCUUGGAAAAAUUAUGUUGUUAUUCUUAAGUCAUGAAAGAUGAGUAGCCCUAGUGUAGCGUAGUGUUAACCCUUUCUGGAGUACUUGUAAGCAGGUGAAGGGUUGCAGGAGGAUCGGAGUCGCGCAUCCGUUAGCAUGAAUUAAGUUAUCUGCAUCGGAUUAAUUGAGAUAUUGCUCACUUCUACGAAGCAACUACAGGAUGUUCCAGUUUUAAACUUAGUAAUAAUAUAAAAUUGAUUUUUAACGAGA